UACGAAGGGGGCUAGCGUUGUUCGGAAUUACUGGGCGUAAAGCGCGCGCAGGCGGUUCUUCAAGUCAGUGGUGAAAGCCCGGAGCUCAACUCCGGAACUGCCAUUGAAACUGUAGAACUUGAGGAUGAGAGAGGUGAGUGGAAUUCCCAGUGUAGAGGUGAAAUUCGUAGAUAUUGGGAAGAACACCAGUGGCGAAGGCGGCUCACUGGCUCAUUUCUGACGCUCAGGCGCGACAGCGUGGGGAUCAAACAGG
rnacentral:rRNA from 1 species